ensembl:lncRNA
AAACAGCAUAGUAGCAGCACUGACAGGUCAGGCUCUGCAGUUUUUGUGUCCUCGUCAUCCUUUGUUCAUCAUAAUAACUUACAGAGUAAGCACACAACUGGAAGUAAUGAAAAGAACAAGGGAUAAUUAGUUUUAAUACAGAUUAUUGAAGAAUAAACUGUCCCAUGCAAAGGAAAGAAAUUACUGUAUCUCAGAGGACUGUGGCUGUGAGCACCAAGGCUGAUCACAGACUUUACUCUGCAGCUUUCAGUGGCCUUUUGCUUUGGCUGCAAGAUGAAGAGUCUGAAUUGGAUCUGAAGUGCUGUGGAUGACUAAGAUAGAUAGCAAGGAAUAGGUUGGAUUCCUUCGGAGCAGCCCUUGCUCUGCUACAAUGUUCUGUAAUACCAGGAAUUUGAAAUCAUGACCUGGAAGAGCAUGUCCUCAGGCCCCAGACAGGGAGGAUGUCAGGUGAAGUUUUCCCACCAAGGAGACUGGCAAAGGCCUCACUGUGCUCCUCUAUGUGAUUCUUGUCAGUCAUGAGCUCAGAGUUACUACAGAAGUGCAGGCUGGCCUAGCUGAUAGCGGCCUUGUGUGGGUAGCCAAACAGUGGCCUCAGACUCUGCAAAAAAUGCUUUCCUCCAUUGUGCUUCAAUGGAAUGUUCUCAGAUGGAUGUUUUCACAUGGAUGUUCUCAUACAUUCAAAGCCUGCUGAUCACAACUCAGGUCAAUAGGCAAUUAAAUGUUGAUUUUAAUAAGUGUAUGUUUGAGUACCCAUUGUGAAUGCCUGUCCUUCAUCAAUGCAUGAAUACUCUGUUCGCUGGUUUUGAAAAGAAGUGUAUUAAUUAUGUGAAAUACUGAGCCCAGCCCAAACAUCAAAAGGACUUUUAGGUGCUCACUUUCUCGCUGGAGGGCUGGUUGAUGAAUCUGAUGAUCUAUGAGCUACAUUAUGCGUGACCAUAUACUUUGUCCUUAACAUUUGUUGGAUUACAUACAUGUAAAUCUGAAAUUAUUAUGAUUCUCAUAAUUCUUCCACACAUUCUCUGUUGCAAAAAUCAUGCUUCAGAUUUAAAAUAAAU